GCCUCCGUGGCGCAAUUGGCUAGCGCGUUCGGCUGUUAACCGAAAGGUUGGUGGUUCAAGCCCACCCGGGGGCG
rfam:Acyrthosiphon pisum strain LSR1 Contig38385, whole genome shotgun sequence.